AAACUAACUAGGAUUCCCUUAGUAACGGCGAGUGAACCGGGAUGAGCUCAAAUUUGAAAUCUGGCGUCUUUCAGGCGUCCGAGUUGUAAUCUAUAGAGGCGUUUUCCGCGCCGGACCGCGUCCAAGUCUCUUGGAAUAGAGUAUCAAAGAGGGUGACAAUCCCGUACUUGACGCGACAACCGGUGCUCUGUGAUACGUUCUCAAUGAGUCGAGUUGUUUGGGAAUGCAGCUCUAAAUGGGUGGUAAAUUCCAUCUAAGGCUAAAUAUUGGCGAGAGACCGAUAGCGAACAAGUACCGUGAGGGAAAGAUGAAAAGCACUUUGGAAAGAGAGUUAAACAGCACGUGAAAUUGUUAAAAGGGAAACGAUUGAAGUCAGUCGUGUGGGAAGUAUUCAGCCGUCUCUGGCGGUGUAUUUGCUUCUCACGGGUCAACAUCAGUUUGAUCCGGUAGAAAAAGGCGGGAAGAAGGUGGCACCCUCGGGUGUGUUAUAGCUUCCUGUCAUAUGUGCCGGACCAGACUGAGGAACGCAGCUUGCAGCAAUGCCGGGGUUCGCCCACGUACAAGCUUAGGAUGUUGACAA
rnacentral:rRNA from 1 species